rnacentral:sRNA from 1 species
AUUUUAUUUUUAACAGAUUUAUAAUAUGGUAGCUUAAUAAUAGCUAAAAGAUAAGGUGCAUAUUUCAAAACGCUCUGAAAACGCAGAAGAUAGUUAUGUUUAUACAUUAUUUUAUUAUUUUAUUAAUCAUAAAAGGGAAAAAAAAGGUUUUUGUCUAUAUAAAGAUUGCAUGCGUUCUAUUAGUUCAUCACAAAAAAACAUUGACAAACACAAAACAUAUAAAAACAGCAAAACAAAAUUCCUUGUCUGAUUUAUUCACUUAUAAAGAUAACAUCAAAGUUAUACAAAGCUUUCACUUUUAAAGGUAAACAAUGUUUAAUUAUUUUUUAUUCUAUACUAAAUUUAAAUUCUAAACUAUAACUAUCAAAUUAUUAUAUUUAUAUAUAUUAAAAGCAAUGACACUAGUCUUUUUAAGAGAUAUUAUCAUGUAAAUUUAUAGUAAUUUCUUAAUUAUGUAUAGUUAAAUAAUUUAAAUU